GCGGAAGAUGUAACGGGGCUAAACCAUGCACCGAAGCUGCGGCAGCGACACUGUGUGUUGUUGGGUAGGGGAGCGUUCUGUAAGCCUGUGAAGGUGUGUCGUGAGGCAUGCUGGAGGUAUCAGAAGUGCGAAUGCUGACAUAAGUAACGAUAAAGCGGGUGAAAAGCCCGCUCGCCGGAAGACCAAGGGUUCCUGUCCAACGUUAAUCGGGGCAGGGUGAGUCGACCCCUAAGGCGAGGCCGAAAGGCGUAGUCGAUGGGAAACGGGUUAAUAUUCCCGUACUUGGUGUUACUGCGAAGGGGGGACGGAGAAGGCUAUGUUGGCCGGGCGACGGUUGUCCCGGUUUAAGCGUGUAGGUGUGUGUUCCAGGUAAAUCCGGUUCACUUUAACACUGAGGCGUGACGACGAGGCACUACGGUGCUGAAGCAACAAAUGCCCUGCUUCCAGGAAAAGCCUCUAAGCAUCAGGUAACAUCAAAUCGUACCCCAAACCGACACAGGUGGUCAGGUAGAGAAUACCAAGGCGCUUGAGAGAACUCGGGUGAAGGAACUAGGCAAAAUGGUGCCGUAACUUCGGGAGAAGGCACGCUGACACGUAGGUGAAGUGAUUUACUCAUGGAGCUGAAGUCAGUCGAAGAUACCAGCUGGCUGCAACUGUUUAUUAAAAACACAGCACUGUGCAAACACGAAAGUGGACGUAUACGGUGUGACGCCUGCCCGGUGCCGGAAGGUUAAUUGAUGGGGUCAGCGCAAGCGAAGCUCCUGAUCGAAGCCCCGGUAAACGGCGGCCGUAACUAUAACGGUCCUAAGGUAGCGAAAUUCCUUGUCGGGUAAGUUCCGACCUGCACGAAUGGCGUAAUGAUGGCCAGGCUGUCUCCACCCGAGACUCAGUGAAAUUGAACUCGCUGUGAAGAUGCAGUGUACCCGCGGCAAGACGGAAAGACCCCGUGAACCUUUACUAUAGCUUGACACUGAACAUUGAGCCUUGAUGUGUAGGAUAGGUGGGAGGCUUUGAAGUGUGGACGCCAGUCUGCAUGGAGCCGACCUUGAAAUACCACCCUUUAAUGUUUGAUGUUCUAACGUGGACCCGUUACCCGGGUUGCGGACAGUGUCUGGUGGGUAGUUUGACUGGGGCGGUCUCCUCC
rnacentral:rRNA from 1 species